rnacentral:rRNA from 1 species
UUGGAGGGCAGUCUGGUGCAGCAGCCGCGGUAAUUCCAGCUCCGAUAGCGUAUAUUAAGUUGUUGCAGUUAAAAAGCUCGUAGUUGAAUUUCGGGGUUAGCAAGUUGUCGUGCCAAUGGUAUGUACUGGGCUCGCUGAUUCCUCCUUUCUUGUAGAACCGUAAUGCCAUUAAUUUAGUGUUGCGGGGAAAACAGGACUGUUACUUUUGAAAAAAUCAGAGUGUUUAAAGCAGGCUAGCGCCUGAAUACAUUAGCAUGGAAUAAUGAAAUAGGACGUUCGAACCUAUUUUGUUGGUUUCUAGGAUUGACGUAAUGAUUAAUAGGGAUAGUUGGGGGCAUUAGUAUUCAAUUGUCAGAGGUGAAAUUCUUGGGAUUUAUUGAAGACUGACUACUGCGAAAGCAUUUGCCAAGGAUGUUUUCAUUAAUCAAGAACGAAAGUUAGGGGAUCGAAGACGAUCAGAUACCGUCGUAGUCUUAACCAUAAACUAUGCCGACUAGGGAUCGGAUGAUGUUAAUUUUUUAAUGACUCAUUCGGCGCCUUACGGGAAAC